AGCAUGUAGCAGAUACAGAGCAGGUCCUGGUGGGGCAGUCACUGCUAUUGUGUGUGGAGAUCUCUCAGAGCAGCAGCCCCCGAUCAUGUGACUCCUCCUCCUCGAUGUGACUGAUCACAUGACGGUGACAUCAUCGCAGGUCCUGUAAGCACACGGCUUCUCUACAGAUACAGGUUUCUCCAAUCCAGGAUCCUCUGCUGAUAUCUUCUAUAUAAGAGAAUUCUCCUGGAUGACCCAUCAACCAUGGAGAGAGACAGGAACAAGAUGGCCGACAGGAUCAUAAACCUCACCCUACAGAUACUCAUCCGGCUUACUGGAGAGGUUCCUAUAAGGUGUCAGGACGUGGCGGUCUAUUUCUCCAUGGAGGAGUGGGAGUAUGUAGAAGGACACAAGGAUCAGUACAAGGAUCAGGUCAUGAUGGAGGAUCAGCAGCCCCUCACAUCACCAGGUAAUAGACCUGACUAUAUACACACGUCCUCUCAUUAUUUGUAUGUAAAGAAUGAAUUCAGUCUCUGUAUGUGUUCCCUACAGUCAGAUCCAGUA